rnacentral:rRNA from 1 species
AGCGAACGCUGGCGGCAGGCCUAACACAUGCAAGUCGAACGGACCCUUCGGGGUUAGUGGCGGACGGGUGAGUAACACGUGGGAACGUGCCUUUAGGUUCGGAAUAGCUCCUGGAAACGGGUGGUAAUGCCGAAUGUGCCCUUCGGGGGAAAGAUUUAUCGCCUUUAGAGCGGCCCGCGUCUGAUUAGCUGGUUGGUGAGGUAAUGGCUCACCAAGGCGACGAUCAGUAGCUGGUCUGAGAGGAUGACCAGCCACAUUGGGACUGAGACACGGCCCAAUCUCCUACGAGAGGCAGCAGUGGUGAAUCUUGCUCAAUGGUCGAAAGCCUGACGCAUCCAUGCCGCGUGAAUGAUGAAGGUCUUAGGAUUGUAAAAUUCUUUCACCGGGGACGAUAAUGGCGGUACCCGGAGAAGAAGCCCCGGCUAACUUCGUGCCAGCAGCCGCCGUAACAC